UNGGAUGCUUUACUAGCAAUUCACAGGAC
rnacentral:piRNA from 1 species